UACGUAGGGUGCGAGCGUUGUCCGGAAUUAUUGGGCGUAAAGAGCUCGUAGGCGGUUUGUCGCGUCGGAUGUGAAAGCCCGGGGCUUAACUCCGGGUCUGCAUUCGAUACGGGCAGGCUAGAGUUCGGUAGGGGAGAUCGGAAUUCCUGGUGUAGCGGUGAAAUGCGCAGAUAUCAGGAGGAACACCGGUGGCGAAGGCGGCUCACUGGCUCAUUACUGACGCUCAGGCGCGAUAGCGUGGGGAUCAAACAGG
rnacentral:rRNA from 1 species